UAGUCCAUGCCCUAAACGAUGUCAACUAGUUGUCGGGCCUUAACGGGCUUGGUAACGUAGCUAACGCGUGAAGUUGACCGCCUGGGGAGUACGAUCGCAAGGCUAAAACUCAAAGGAAUUGACGGGGGCCCGCACAAGCGGUGGAGUAUGUGGUUUAAUUCGAAGCAACGCGCAGAACCUUACCUACCCUUAACAUUUCACGACGUAUACAGAGAUGUAUAUUUCUCUUCGGAGACGUGAGGAUAGGUGCUGCAUGGCUGUCGUCAGCUCGUGUCGUAAGAUGUCUGGUUAAGUCCAAUAACGAGCGCAACCCUUAUCCUUAGUUACCAGCAUUAAGUUGGGGACUCUAGGGAGACUGCCGGUGUUAAACCGGAGGAAGGCGGGGAUGACGUCAAGUCCUCAUGGCCCUUACGGGUAGGGCUACACACGUACUACAAUGGCAGAUACAAACCGUUUGCAAAGCCGCGAGGUUGAGCUAAUCGGUAAAACACUGUCCCAGUCCGGAUUGGAGUCUGCAACUCGACUCCA
rnacentral:rRNA from 1 species